GGUUAAGCGACUAAGCGUACACGGUGGAUGCCCUGGCAGUCAGAGGCGAUGAAGGACGUGCUAAUCUGCGAUAAGCGUCGGUAAGGUGAUAUGAACCGUUAUAACCGGCGAUUUCCGAAUGGGGAAACCCAGUGUGAUUCGUCACACUAUCAUUAACUGAAUCCAUAGGUUAAUGAGGCGAACCGGGGGAACUGAAACAUCUAAGUACCCCGAGGAAAAGAAAUCAACCGAGAUUCCCCCAGUAGCGGCGAGCGAACGGGGAGGAGCCCAGAGCCUGAAUCAGUGUGUGUGUUAGUGGAAGCGUCUGGAAAGGCGCGCGAUACAGGGUGACAGCCCCGUACACAAAAAUGCACAUACUGUGAGCUCGAUGAGUAGGGCGGGACACGUGGUAUCCUGUCUGAAUAUGGGGGGACCAUCCUCCAAGGCUAAAUACUCCUGACUGACCGAUAGUGAACCAGUACCGUGAGGGAAAGGCGAAAAGAACCCCGGCGAGGGGAGUGAAAAAGAACCUGAAACCGUGUACGUACAAGCAGUGGGAGCCUCUUAAUGGGGUGACUGCGUACCUUUUGUAUAAUGGGUCAGCGACUUAUAUUCUGUAGCAAGGUUAACCGAAUAGGGGAGCCGAAGGGAAACCGAGUCUUAACUGGGCGUUAAGUUGCAGGGUAUAGACCCGAAACCCGGUGAUCUAGCCAUGGGCAGGUUGAAGGUUGGGUAACACUAACUGGAGGACCGAACCGACUAAUGUUGAAAAAUUAGCGGAUGACUUGUGGCUGGGGGUGAAAGGCCAAUCAAACCGGGAGAUAGCUGGUUCUCCCCGAAAGCUAUUUAGGUAGCGCCUCGUGAAUUCAUCUCCGGGGGUAGAGCACUGUUUCGGCAAGGGGGUCAUCCCGACUUACCAACCCGAUGCAAACUGCGAAUACCGGAGAAUGUUAUCACGGGAGACACACGGCGGGUGCUAACGUCCGUCGUGAAGAGGGAAACAACCCAGACCGCCAGCUAAGGUCCCAAAGUCAUGGUUAAGUGGGAAACGAUGUGGGAAGGCCCAGACAGCCAGGAUGUUGGCUUAGAAGCAGCCAUCAUUUAAAGAAAGCGUAAUAGCUCACUGGUCGAGUCGGCCUGCGCGGAAGAUGUAACGGGGCUAAACCAUG
rnacentral:rRNA from 1 species